UCUCUGUAGGUGAACCUGCGGAGGGAAUAUUACAGAGUAUCAUGCCCUUCGGGGUAGAUCUCCCACCCUGGGUAUUAUAUACCUUUUGUUGCUUUGGCGGGCCGCCUCGGCCACCGGCUCCGGCUGGUGCGUGCCCGCCAGAGGACCCCAAACUCUGAAUGUUAGUGUCGUCUGAGUACUAUCUAAUAGUUAAAACUUUCAACAACGGAUCUCUUGGUUCUGGCAUCGAUGAAGUACGCAGC
rnacentral:misc_RNA from 1 species